ACCACCCGGGUAUUGCCUUAGUAACGGCGAGUGAAGCGGCAAAGCUCAAAUUUGAAAUCUGGUACCUUCGGUGCCCGAGUUGUAAUUUGGAGAGGGCAACUUUGGGGCCGUUCCUUGUCUAUGUUCCUUGGAACAGGACGUCAUAGAGGGUGAGAAUCCCGUGUGGCGAGGAGUGCGGUUCUUUGUAAAGUGCCUUCGAAGAGUCGAGUUGUUUGGGAAUGCAGCUCUAAGUGGGUGGUAAAUUCCAUCUAAAGCUAAAUAUUGGCGAGAGACCGAUAGCGAACAAGUACAGUGAUGGAAAGAUGAAAAGAACUUUGAAAAGAGAGUGAAAAAGUACGUGAAAUUGUUGAAAGGGAAGGGCAUUUGAUCAGACAUGGUGUUUUGUGCCCUCUGCUCCUUGUGGGUAGGGGAAUCUCGCAUUUCACUGGGCCAGCAUCAGUUUUGGUGGCAGGAUAAAUCCAUAGGAAUGUAGCUUGCCUCGGUAAGUAUUAUAGCCUGUGGGAAUACUGCCAGCUGGGACUGAGGACUGCGACGUAAGUCAAGGAUGCUGGCAUAAUGGUUAUAUGCCGCCCGUCUUGAACC
rnacentral:rRNA from 1 species